GACGAAGGCUGGCGGCGUGCCUAACACAUGCAAGUCGAACGAUGAAGCUGGAGCUUGCUCCGGUGGAUUAGUGGCGCACGGGUGAGUAACACGUGAGCAAUCUGCCCUGCACUCUGGGAUAACUGCGGGAAACUGUAGCUACUACCGGACACGCGACCUUGGGGCAUCCCAGGGUCGGGACAUAAUUUCGGUGAAGGAUGCGCGCGCGGCGUAUCAGCUAGUUGGUGAGGUAAUGGCUCACCAAGGCGACGACGGGUAGCCGGCCUGAGAGGGUGACCGGCCACACUGGGACUGGGACACGGCCCAGACUCCUACGGGAGGCAGCAGUGGGGAAUAUUGCACAAUGGGCGAAAGCCUGAUGCAGCAACGCCGCGUGAGGGAUGAAGGCCUUCGGGUUGUAAACCUCUUUUAGUAGGGAAGAAGCGCAAGUGACGGUACCUACAGAAAAAGCACCGGCUAACUACGUGCCAGCCGCCGCCGUAACAC
rnacentral:rRNA from 1 species